rnacentral:rRNA from 1 species
UCUUACCAUGCAGUCCACGAUGACGGUGGUGCUUGCACCGCCUGAUUAGUGGCGAACGGGUGAGUAACACGUGAGUAACCUGCCCUCCACUUCGGGAUAACCUCGGGAAAUCGUGGCUAAUACCGGAUAUGAGCACUCAUCGCAUGGUGGGUGUUGGAAAGAUUUAUCGGUGGGGGAUGGACUCGCGGCCUAUCAGUUUGUUGGUGAGGUGAUGGCUCACCAAGACGAUGACGGGUAGCCGGCCUGAGAGGGCGACCGGCCACACUGGGACUGAGACACGGCCCAGACUCCUACGGGAGGCAGCAGUGGGGAAUAUUGCACAAUGGGCGAAAGCCUGAUGCAGCGACGCCGCGUGGGGGAUGACGGCCUUCGGGUUGUAAACCCCUUUCAGUAGGGAAGAAGCGAGAGUGACGGUACCUGCAGAAGAAGCGCCGGCUAACUACGUGCCAGCAGCCGCGGUAAUACGUAGGGCGCAAGCGUUGUCCGGAAUUAUUGGGCGUAAAGAGCUUGUAGGUGGCUUGUCGCGUCUGCCGUGAAAACCCGAGGCUCAACCUCGGGCGUGCGGUGGGUACGGGCAGGCUAGAGUGUGGUAGGGGAGACUGGAACUCCUGGUGUAGCGGUGAAAUGCGCAGAUAUCAGGAAGAACACCGAUGGCGAAGGCAGGUCUCUGGGCCAUUACUGACACUGAGAAGCGAAAGCAUGGGUAGCGAACAGGAUUAGAUACCCUGGUAGUCCAUGCCGUAAACGUUGGGCACUAGGUGUGGGGGACAUUCCACGUUUUCCGCGCCGUAGCUAACGCAUU